ACUCCUACGGGAGGCAGCAGUGGGGAAUAUUGGACAAUGGGCGCAAGCCUGAUCCAGCCAUGCCGCGUGAGUGAUGAAGGCCCUAGGGUUGUAAAGCUCUUUCACCGGUGAAGAUAAUGACGGUAACCGGAGAAGAAGCCCCGGCUAACUUCGUGCCAGCAGCCGCGGUAAUACGAAGGGGGCUAGCGUUGUUCGGUUUUACUGGGCGUAAAGCGCACGUAGGCGGACUAUUAAGUCAGGGGUGAAAUCCCGGGGCUCAACCCCGGAACUGCCUUUGAUACUGGUAGUCUUGAGUUCGAGAGAGGUGAGUGGAAUUCCGAGUGUAGAGGUGAAAUUCGUAGAUAUUCGGAGGAACACCAGUGGCGAAGGCGGCUCACUGGCUCGAUACUGACGCUGAGGUGCGAAAGCGUGGGGAGCAAACAGGAUUAGAUACCCCAGUAGUCCGAU
rnacentral:rRNA from 1 species